GGUGGCACGCAUCAAAGUCGACCAGCACUACUUGGUGGCGGUGAGCACGAUCCUGACCGAACUGGAGAAGUGCGGCGGGAUUGGCGGAGUUGGCGACAGCCAAGACAACAGCAGCCUCACCGUGGCUGCUGCUGCUGGCGGGGGUG
rnacentral:ribozyme from 1 species